rnacentral:rRNA from 1 species
UGCAAGUCGAACGGGAAAGUGGAGCAAUCCAUGAGUACAGUGGCGUACGGGUGAGUAACACGUGGGUAAUCUACCUCUUAGUGGGGAAUAACCCUGGGAAACCGGGGCUAAUACCGCAUAAGCCUGAGAAGGGAAAGCAGCAAUGCGCUGAGAGAGGAGCCCGCGGCCGAUUAGCUAGUUGGUAGGGUAAAGGCCUACCAAGGCAGAGAUCGGUAGCCGGCCUGAGAGGGCACACGGCCACACUGGCACUGAAACACGGGCCAGACUCCUACGGGAGGCAGCAGUGGGGAAUCUUGCACAAUGGGGGCAACCCUGAUGCAGCGACGCCGCGUGAGCGAUGAAGCCCUUCGGGGUGUAAAGCUCUUUCGUCAGGGAAGAUGAUGACGGUACCUGGAGAAGCAGCUGCGGCUAACUACGUGCCAGCAGCCGCGGUAAUACGUAGGCAGCGAGCGUUGUUCGGAGUUACUGGGCGUAAAGGGUGUGUAGGCGGUUCUUUAAGUUUGGUGUGAAAUCUCCCGGCUCAACCGGGAGGGUGCGCCGAAUACUGAGGGACUAGAGUGCGGGAGAGGAAAGUGGAAUUCCUGGUGUAGCGGUGAAAUGCGUAGAUAUCAGGAGGAACACCGGUGGUGUAGACGGCUUUCUGGACCGUAACUGACGCUGAGACACGAAAGCGUGGGUAGCAAACAGGAUUAGAUACCCUGGUAGUCCACGCCCUAAACGAUGCAUAUUUGGUGUGGGUCAUUCAGUUGAUCCGUGCCGGAGCUAACGCGUUAAAUAUGCCGCCUGGGGAGUACAGUCGCAAGGCUGAAACUCAAAGGAAUUGACGGGGGCCCGCACAAGCGGUGGAGCAUGUGGUUCAAUUCGACGCAACGCGAA